rnacentral:rRNA from 1 species
GAUGAACGCUAGCUACAGGCUUAACACAUGCAAGUCGAGGGACCGGCGCACGGGUGAGUAAUACGUAUCCAACCUGCCCUUUACUCGGGGAUAGCCUGUCGAAAGAAAGAUUAAUACCCGAUAUAAAGGAGGGGGAUGCGUUCCAUUAGGUUGUUGGUGAGGUAACGGCUCACCAAGCCUUCGAUGGAUAGUGGUUCUGUGAGGAAGGACCCUGACAUUGGAACUGAGACAAGGUCCAAACUGGUGCGGGAGGUAGGAGUGAGGAAUAAUGGUCAAUGAGCGCUAGGCAGAAACAGCCAAUGAGCGAGAAGGAUGAAGGCUUAUGGAGCGUAAACAUCUUUUAUAUAGGAAUAUGAAUUAUAUGAAUAAGGACGGGCUAACCCCGUGCCAGCAGCCGGGUAAUUC